UACAGAGGUCCCAAGCGUUGUUCGGAUUCACUGGGCGUAAAUGGUGCGUAGGUGGCUUGGUAAGUUUGAUGUGAAAUCUCCGGGCUUAACCCGGAAAUGGCAUUGAAUACUAUUGAGCUGGAGGUUUGGAGGGGGGACUGGAAUUCUCGGUGUAGCAGUGAAAUGCGUAGAUAUCGAGAGGAACACCAGUGGCGAAGGCGAGUCCCUGGACAACACCUGACACUGAGGCACGAAAGCUAGGGGAGCAAACAGG
rnacentral:rRNA from 1 species